GACGAACGCUGGCGGCGUGCCUAAUACAUGCCAGUUGAGCGCUGAAGGUUGGUACUUGUACCAACUGGAUGAGCAGCGAACGGGUGAGUAACGCGUGGGGAAUCUGCCUUUGAGCGGGGGACAACAUUUGGAAACGAAUGCUAAUACCGCAUAAAAACUUUAAACACAAGUUUUAAGUUUGAAAGAUGCAAUUGCAUCACUCAAAGAUGAUCCCGCGUUGUAUUAGCUAGUUGGUGAGGUAAAGGCUCACCAAGGCGAUGAUACAUAGCCGACCUGAGAGGGUGAUCGGCCACAUUGGGACUGAGACACGGCCCAAACUCCUACGGGAGGCAGCAGUAGGGAAUCUUCGGCAAUGGACGAAAGUCUGACCGAGCAACGCCGCGUGAGUGAAGAAGGGUUUCGGAUCGUAAAACUCUGUUGGUAGAGAAGAACGUUGGUGAGAGUGGAAAGCUCAUCAAGUGACGGUAACUACACAGAAAGGGACGGCUAACUACGUG
rnacentral:rRNA from 1 species